GUACGCUGGCGGCACGCCUAACACAUGCAAGUCGAACGCAGUAGCAAUACUGAGUGGCAAACGGGUGAGUAUAAUGUGGGAAUCUGCCUUUUGGUUUGGAAUAACACGGGGAAACUUGUGCUAAUACCGAAUAAGCCCUUACGGGGAAAGUUUUAAUGCCAAAAGAUGAGCCCGCACUUGAUUAGCUAGUUGGUAAGGUAAAAGCUUACCAAGGCAACGAUCAAUAGCUGUUCUUAGAGGAAGACCAGCCACAUUGGGACUGAGACACGGCCCAGACUCCUACGGGAGGCAGCAGUGGGGAAUCUUGCACAAUGGGGGAAACCCUGAUGCAGCGAUGCCGCGUGAGUGAAGAAGGCCCUUGGGUUGUAAAACUCUUUCGUCGGGGAAGAAAAUGACUGUACCCGAAUAAGAAGGUC
rnacentral:rRNA from 1 species